CCUACGGGUGGCAGCAGUGAGGAAUAUUGGUCAAUGGACGAGAGUCUGAACCAGCCAAGUAGCGUGAAGGAUGACUGCCCUAUGGGUUGUAAACUUCUUUUAUAAAGGAAUAAAACGAGGCACGUGUGCCUUUUUGCAUGUACUUUAUGAAUAAGGAUCGGCUAACUCCGUGCCAGCAGCCGCGGUAAUACGGAGGAUCCGAGCGUUACCCGGAUUUAUUGGGUUUAAAGGGAGCGUAGAUGGGUUGUUAAGUCAGGUGUGAAAGUUUGCGGCUCAACCGUAAAAUUGCAAUUGAUACUGGCAGUCUUGAGUACAGUUGAGGUAGGCGGAAUUCGUGGUGUAGCAGUGAAAUGCUUAGAUAUCACGAAGAACCUCGAUUGCGAAGGCAGCUAACUAAACUGUGACUGACAUUGAUGCUCGAAAGUGUGGGGAGCAAACAGGAUUAGAUACCCGAGUAGUC
rnacentral:rRNA from 1 species